rnacentral:rRNA from 1 species
ACCUACGGGACGCAGCAGUGGGGAAUAUUGGGCAAUGGAGGAAACUCUGACCCAGCAACGCCGCGUGAAUGAUGAAGGUCUUCGGAUUGUAAAGUUCUUUUCUAAGGGAAGAAGAAAGUGACGGUACCUUAGGAAUAAGCCUCGGCUAACUACGUGCCAGCAGCCGCGGUAAUACGUAGGAGGCAAGCGUUAUCCGGAUUUAUUGGGUUUAAAGGGUGCGCAGGCGGAAGAUCAAGUCAGCGGUAAAAUUGAGAGGCUCAACCUCUUCGAGCCGUUGAAACUGGUUUUCUUGAGUGAGCGAGAAG